GUAUGACAAUUGAAGUAACUUGUAGUGACUAUAAAAUCUGACUCACUAUGCAAUCGGCCUCUAAAUAUUUGGGUUAAUGGAGAACGUGAGUAUUUAGAAUCGUGUCCCUCUAUGUUGUGGGAAUUUGCAAAGACAGCCUGUAAAAAAUUCGAUCUUAUGCUUUGUACCGAAAGAUUUGAUCGGCUUUUAAACCGUUUGCGGCCUAACACACUGCUUAACGUGAACGCAGUACCGAUUAUAAAAGGAAAUUUGGCUUCUGCACAUGGGGUGCCUCCUUGCACUGAAGUAGGCUACCCACAGCCAACAACUUGCUGUCGACUAGUCAUAUAGACAUUGAUAUAUAUUUAGAAAGGCCAAUGGUGUGGGCGUGCGCCUGUGCGCGUUUUGUGUAUAUGCGAUUCAAUGGCACGUGUGUGUGAACCGGAUGAAAAUCCCCUAUGGAGCAUGUAAUCGUCCGAUUGCAAGAUAUGGGCUAAAGUUUUGUUUUUCAGAGACAACCCCCGACUAGCUAUAAGCGUAUCGAUAGAACUAGCUACGGAGUAUGACAAAGCUGCUAUGACGAAGCACGCUCAAUCAUGCCAACUAUACGUUUUAUGAUAAAAAGGAAUAUAUCUACCGCUGACAAAAACGUCGGUCCAUGUUUCCCUGCUACAUUAAGGAUACUUUCAUUUUGGCUCAAACCAUAGCGGACGGCUGACUUUGUUGAAAGAGAAACUGAACUGGAAGUGGAUCGAAGAGAUGUACGCUCACGGCGAUUUGUGCUAUUCAAAAUAGG